rnacentral:rRNA from 1 species
GAUGAACGCUGGCGGCGUGCCUAAUACAUGCAAGUCGAGCGAACAGAUGAGGAGCUUGCUCCUCUGACGUUAGCGGCGGACGGGUGAGUAACACGUGGAUAACCUACCUAUAAGACUGGGAUAACUUCGGGAAACCGGAGCUAAUACCGGAGAAUAUAUUGAACCGCAUGGUUCAAUAGUGAAAGACGGUUUUGCUGUCACUUAUAGAUGGAUCCGCGCCGCAUUAGCUAGUUGGUAAGGUAACGGCUUACCAAGGCAACGAUGCGUAGCCGACCUGAGAGGGUGAUCGGCCACACUGGAACUGAGACACGGUCCAGACUCCUACGGGAGGCAGCAGUAGGGAAUCUUCCGCAAUGGGCGAAAGCCUGACGGAGCAACGCCGCGUGAGUGAUGAAGGUCUUCGGAUCGUAAAACUCUGUUAUUAGGGAAGAACAAAUGUGUAAGUAACUAUGCACGUCUUGACGGUACCUAAUCAGAAAGCCACGGCUAACUACGUG